GUGAGCAAGCAGUUAUGGGAUUGCGCAUGCUCAGUGUGUAAGAGUGAGAGCAAACAAUUACACUGGAGCGCUGUUGAGAUCCAUCGUAUGUCCAACGUUACUUUAGAUGGAUUGACAUGUUAGCUUCUUGCUAGCUGAAUACCAGUGCUCUCAGAACCACAUUGUGGAGUUGAUAAGAUUAUUUGAAGCUGCAGUAAGGGUGAAAUGAGGAGCUAUUGUUCCAUAUGGAGUUAAGGUAUCAUGUGGACAGUGUGUUUGCUACAUGAAGAACUCGGAUGUGGAGGUCCUGGGCUGGCGUGGAUACAUGUGGUCUGGGCCGGUUGGACCUGCUGACAAAUUUUCUAAAACGACGUUGGAGAAAUUAACAUUCAAUUAUCUAGCAACCGCUCUGGUGGACAUUCCUGCAGUCAGUAUGUCAAUUGCACGCUCCCUCAAAA